UGGGGAAUAUUGCACAAUGGGCGCAAGCCUGAUGCAGCCAUGCCGCGUGUAUGAAGAAGGCCUUCGGGUUGUAAAGUACUUUCAGCGGGGAGGAAGGGAGUAAAGUUAAUACCUUUGCUCAUUGACGUUACCCGCAGAAGAAGCACCGGCUAACUCCGUGCCAGCAGCCGCGGUAAUACGUAGGUGGCAAGCGUUGUCCGGAUUUAUUGGGCGUAAAGCGAGCGCAGGCGGUUUCUUAAGUCUGAUGUGAAAGCCCCCGGCUCAACCGGGGAGGGUCAUUGGAAACUGGGAGACUUGAGUGCAGAAGAGGAGAGUGGAAUUCCAUGUGUAGCGAUGAAAUGCGUAGAUAUAUGGAGGAACACCAGUGGCGAAGGCGGCUCUCUGGUCUGUAACUGACGCUGAGGCUCGAAAGCGUGGGGAGCAAACAGG
rnacentral:rRNA from 1 species